GAGUUUGAUCGUGGCUCAGAUUGAACGCUGGCGGCAUGCCUUACACAUGCAAGUCGAACGGUAACAGGUCUUCGGAUGCUGACGAGUGGCGAACGGGUGAGUAAUACAUCGGAACGUGCCCGAUCGUGGGGGGAUAACGAAGCGAAAGCUUUGCUAAUACCGCAUAAGAUCUACGGAUGAAGCAGGGACCGGCAAGGCCUUGCGCGAACGGAGCGGCCGAUGGCAGAUUAGGUAGUUGGUGGGAUAAAAGCUUACCAAGCCGACGAUCUGUUAGCUGGUCUGAGAGGACGACCAGCCACACUGGGACUGAGACACGGCCCAGACUCCUACGGGAGGCAGCAGUGGGGAAUUUUGGACAAUGGGCGAAAGCCUGAUCCAGCCAUGCCGCGUGCAGGAUGAAGGCCUUC
rnacentral:rRNA from 1 species